UUCAACUUUUUGACAUGCAGUGCAUCUCCUGCUCGCCGCAGCCUCAGCCCUAGAAGUUCCUCCCCACAAAAAGCCUCUCCUUCUAGAGAAGUUUCUCCUGAUAAGCGUAGCUAUGAGAGGUCUCCAUCUCCUCGUCGCAGCCUCAGCCCAAGAAGCCCUUCUUUGCAAAAGGCCUCUCCGUCUAAAGAGAUUUCUCCUGAAAGGCGUAGCAAUGAGAGAUCCCCAUCUCCUGGUAGCCCUUCUCCCCGGGGCAAAGCUGCUGCUGCUUCUCGAAGCCAAUCUCCUUAUGCUUCGGAAUGAUAGCAGCCACUUGUGAAGAAGACAUGAUGUAUGAAAAACAUGUUUGCUUGUAUUGAUGAUGUUUCAUCGUCAAGCACUGGAACGUCUACCCUCUGUAGUAUUACUUGCUUUCUGUAGGUGCCCUUAAACUACUGACUGUAUCUUUGUUUCUUGUUAUCUUUCGGGUUUAGUUAUGUGCAAGGAUUAUUAAGUGUCUGAACAGGCCUUUUAGACUGGUUUGUUUAAAUCUUCUUCGGUUUGGAAUUCACAGCAUGCUAACUCUA